AUGCAGAAUAUGAUCUUAUUAGAAUACCCAAAAAGAGUUAUAUUUAGGAACGGAGGAAGUAGUAUAUUUGCAGGCCAAGAUGUUGCAUUUUUUUUCCUAAGAAUUCUUGUCCCAUCCCAUGAAUAUGGAGAAUCGAUAAAAACAUGCAUUUUUAUUUGCUUACUACAAAUAAAUUGGAAUAAAUUAUUCCUUUAUUUUGGGAGAUGGCCUCUUGGAGGUAGACAACCAGUAGUAUCAGUUGUUGAUAUAUUCGUGGGAUACUAUGUGAAGAUACGUGCAAAUUUUUCGUUUUUCUUUUCUUUCACUGAGACCUAG
rnacentral:rRNA from 1 species